rnacentral:rRNA from 1 species
CUCAGGAUGAACGCUAGCUACAGGCUAACACAUGCAAGUCGAGGGGCAGCAUGGGAUUAGCUUGCUAAUCCUGAUGGCGACCGGUGCACGGGUGAGUAACGCGUAUCCAACCUUCCCCUUACUCAGGGAUAGCCCGGUGAAAACCGGAUUAACACCUGAUAGUUUCACUAGAUGGCAUCUGACGGUGAAUAAAGCUUUGCGGUAAGGGAUGGGGAUGCGUCUGAUUAGCUUGUUGGCGGGGUAACGGCCCACCAAGGCGACGAUCAGUAGGGGUUCUGAGAGGAAGGUCCCCCACAUUGGAACUGAGACACGGUCCAAACUCCUACGGGAGGCAGCAGUGAGGAAUAUUGGUCAAUGGGCGAGAGCCUGAACCAGCCAAGUAAGCGUGCAGGAUGACGGCCCUAUGGGUUGUAAACUGCUUUUGUACGGGAAUAAAGUGACCUACGUGUAGGUUUUUGCAUGUACCGUAAGAAUAAGGACCGGCUAAUUCCGUGCCAGCCGCCGC